rnacentral:rRNA from 1 species
GACGAACGCUGGCGGCGUGCUUAACACAUGCAAGUCGAACGGAAAGGCCCUGCUUUUGUGGGGUGCUCGAGUGGCGAACGGGUGAGUAACACGUGAGUAACCUGCCCUUGACUUUGGGAUAACUUCAGGAAACUGGGGCUAAUACCGGAUAGGAGCUCCUGCUGCAUGGGGGGGGUUGGAAAGUUUCGGCGGUUGGGUAUGGACUCGCGGGUUAUCAGCUUGUUGGUGGGGUAGUGGCUGACCAAGGCUUUGACGGGUAGCCGGCCUGAGAGGGUGAACGGCCACAUUGGGACUGAGAGACGGACCAGACUCCUACGGGAGGCAGAAGUGGGGAAUAUUGCACAAUGGGCGGAAGCCUGAUGCAGCAACGCCGCGUGCGGGAUGACGGCCUUCGGGUUGUAAACCGCUUUCGCCUGUGACGAAGCGUGAGUGACGGUAAUGGGUAAAGAAGCACCGGCUAACUACGUG